UGCACGAUCCGCUUCGAAGGACACACACGGACAGGACGCCUCUCGGGGCGGGCCCGUCAACACAAAAUUUCCUUUGGGGAAAGUCUCCGGACACUGCGGCAGAGAGUGCCAGCCCUAAGGGCCAGACCCCGCACGCUUCGAACCGCUGGCGAAGACGUCGAACUCCGACGGAGCUGAUACAGGGGAGGGGGGUGCAGGUAUCAGUCACAGCACAGUUAUGCGGAUGUCGGGGGGGUCAACCCCCCCCGGUAACUCAA
rnacentral:RNase_MRP_RNA from 11 species